AUGACCGUUUGCCACCUUCUUCUCAGACGACCAUGGCAAUUUGAUAGAGGUGUCAUCCACAACGGCCGAACGAACCACUACAUCUUCAAGAUGAAAGGAAAGGAGUACGUACUUCGCCCUAUGUCUCCAAGCCAAAUGAUCGCCGACAAGCAAGCCACCCAUCGUGGAGAGAAUAGUGAGAUAGCGAACCACCAAAAAGAGAGUGAGCGCCACAAGCCCAAAUUGAGUGACUCCACAAUGAGCGAAAAGAUGAACCUAGUUCUAUUUGCCAUCAAACGUGAGAUAAGAGAAGUGUGUGAGAACCCAUCUAGUGUGAUACACUAUAUCCUUUUGUACAAGGACGAGGCACCAAAAGCUAACACCUCUCACACUCUACCUUUAGUGUUGUCUUCUCUUUUGCAGAAUUCCAAGAUGUUUUCCCCGACGAGCUAUCUCUGGGUCUACCUCCACUACGAGGCAUCAAGCACCGCAUCGACCUCAUCCCCGGAGCACCACUUCCAAACAAAGCUCCCUACCGCAUCAACCCCAAAGAAACCAAAGAAAUACAAAGGCAAGUCAAACAUCUCAUAG
rnacentral:rRNA from 1 species